UUUUAGAAUUCUGCAGUUUUAUGUGACAUUUAUCAUCUUUUGAAUUUCCACUGCUCGAAAAACUUUAUGUGGAAAACCAAGAUGAAAUACCUAAAUACCCGAAAUCGGUAAGACCAGAAUUCACUAGAAGAAAAGAAAAAAAUGAAAUAAUGUAGUCUUCAAUGAGAAGCUUAGUAGAAGCUAAGUUGUCCACAGUUCAUUAAAUGUAACUUAAAUAGUAAGUAUAAUGAGCAAAACGUGAAAAAUGUUUUUUUAUUAUUAUAUUAAAGUUUUUAAAAAUAGUAAAUAUAGCUCAAGCAAAAUUAUGAAAAUCAAUAGGAGACAAAUAAUUGAGAACAAAUGAUUAAAAGAUUUUGAAACGGAAUCAUAAAUGUUCACAACUUAAAAGUUUUUCUGAAUAGGUACUUACACCAUCUUGUGUUUUAUAUCACAUUCUUGAAUUGUGCAUUUAGUAAUUAUUUCAAUUAAAAAUUGGUUUUAUCAUCUUUGUACAAUGAGUUUUUAUUUAUGUCUAGGGAUCAGAUUUUAAGAAUUUUUUUUUUUAGUUUUUUUGCAUAUUAUUUCUGUGGUUAUGCCAUAUUUUUGGGUAGGGUUUCUUGACGUUUCAUUGAACAAGAAAUAUACAUAAGUAGGUACAACAUUUUAUUAUAAAAAUGUUUGUUCAAGUUUUUCAUUGUUUAUUUUUGAUUUGUGACAGAUUUUUUACACAUUCAACAUAUUAUGAAUUUUCUUUCAAUUAUUGUUCUUGUAGUUCUAUUAUCUAAGUUUCAAGUGUUAAUGUUCAUAUCAUUUAUAUUGAAUGCAGCAGAACAAUUAUACAUUUCAUACAAAUACACGUAUUGACUAUAGAUUAAACGAUGUAUAUAGUAGGUAAUAGUUGAUAUAAUUAGGAUCAUAAACUUCUAUUUUAUUGUGAAGCUAGUUUGAUCUAUUUGUAUUAUUAUUUAUUUAUUAGUAUCAUAUUAAUCUUAAUUUUUAUUGUGUACAUUCGUGUUCUAUUUUAAACACGUACUUUUAAGUAAUUAGGUAUUUCAAGUCAGUGAAAAAAAUAUGAAAUGUUUGAGCUACAGGCUACAUUAUUUAGUAAUUUUGAUUAAAAACUAUUUU